CGAAGGUAGCAUAAUCAGUAGUCUUUUAAUUGAAGGCUGGUAUGAAUGGUUGGACGAGGUAUUAACUGUUUCAUUUAAAUUUAAAAUAGAACUUUAUUUUUUAGUCAAAAAGCUAAAAUUUAAUUAAAAGACGAGAAGACCCUAUAAAUCUUUAUAUUUUAACUAUAUUAAUUAUAAAGAUUUUUUUAAUUAUAAUUUGAUAAAAUAUUUUAUUGGGGUGAUAUUGAAAUUUAAAAAACUUUUAAUUUUUAAAACAUUGAUUUAUGAAUAUUUGAUCCAUUAAUAAUGAUUAUAAAUUUAAGUUACUUUAGGGAUAACAGCGUAAUUUUUUUGGAGAGUUCAUAUCGAUAAAAAAGAUUGCGACCUCGAUGUUGGAUUAA
rnacentral:rRNA from 1 species